GAUUAUGGACUCUGAGCAAAUCUCGUACGUCAUAUCAGAUUCGGCAACCAUUGACGCAUGCGGAAGAACACGUCUGCGUCUUGCUGCAGAUGGCUGCAGGUUCAUGUUCUGUGACAUCAGAAUGUCUUCUCAGCUCAACACAAGUUCCAUCAGACAUCCUUGGGGACUGGGACAUUCGGUGCUGACCGUGCGAGCCAAAGCUGGAGAUCGUUCUUCGUUUGUAGAUUUCGUGUGUAUUCUAGCAAGAAUAGUAUGCAGAUGAAAGGCUAAGAGUUUGACUAUUAUUACCUCCUACAAAAUUGGGAGAAAGUGACUCACACGAAGGCCUGGCUAUGAAUGUCAAAGUGUUGUCAGCACCAAGAUCAAAGUACAAGAAUAUCGAAGCUGGUCGAUCUUGGUCUUCGAGGAAUUGUUAAUGAUGGAUUCCUUGACGCUGGACAUACUUGAGGCUCAAGAUAAAGACGAUGAAUCAAUUGACUAUGAUGGUUCCCGGACACACAGACCUGCUGAUUGCAGACACCACAAGGCCAAGCAGAUGAAAUGAUGAAAGCGAUCUCCAAUGGGUCGCAAUUGGCUUAGGUUUAUUUGAGGGUUGUGUCAAGCUGAUAAGCUAAUGUGGUUGUC